UGUUCGAGUGGAUGGAGAGUGUAAAUUUUAGAGAGAAACCUAGCUAUUGGGAUUUGGAGAGUGGAAAAUGGAUAGUCUGUUGGAAUGAGCAACUUAAUAUGGAGAGAAAUUUUUUGGCAACUUGACUAGGGAGUCAAAUGGAGAACUAAAAAUGGAUAGUCUGUUGGAGUUGCUCGAAGCUCACUUUCUAGUUCGUGAGGUUAAGGGCUCGCUUGGCUUGAAGGAUUUUCAAA
rnacentral:lncRNA from 1 species